GCUGUUGGGCGCCGGAAGCAGUUGCGGUCCGACUGACAACCCUGCGGGACCCGGCCCGACCCCGGCGCGCGCGCGGCGGAGGACGAGGAAGAGUUGUGGCGAGGCAGAUCCUGCCCCGCGGCCGCGGCCGUCUCGUAGGUCGGCCCCAGGAGGCUCCCGGGAACGCCUGUCAGUGCGAUGCUGCCCCAUGUGAUGCUCACCUUCCCGCGCCUGGGCUGUGCCUUGGCCUCCUGCCGGCUGGCUCCUGCGAGACACACAGGAAGUGGUCUUCUGCACACAGCCCCGGUGGCCCACUCAGACAGGAGCGCCCCGGUGUUCACCCGUGCCCUGGCCUUUGGGGACAGAAUCGCCCUGGUUGACCAGCACAGCCGCCACACGUACAGGGAGCUUUAUUCCCGCAGCCUUCGCCUGUCCCAGGAGAUCUGCAGGCUCCGCGGGUGUGUCGGCGGGAACCUCCGGGAAGAGAGGGUCUCCUUCCUGUGCGCUAACGACGCCUCCUACGUCGUGGCCCAGUGGGCCUCGUGGAUGAGCGGCGGUGUGGCAGUCCCCCUCUACAGGAAGCACCCCGCGGCCCAGCUGGAGUAUGUCAUCUGCGACUCCCAGAGCUCUGUGGUCCUCGCCAGCCAGGAGUACCUGGAGCUCCUGAGCCCAGUGGUCAGGAAGCUGGGGGUCCCGCUGCUGCCACUCACACCAGCCAUCUACACUGGAGCAGUACAGGAACCAGCAGAGGUCCCAGUCCCAGAGCAGGGGUGGAAGGACAAGGGAGCCAUGAUCAUCUACACCAGUGGGACCACAGGGAGGCCCAAGGGCGUGCUGAGCACGCACCAAAACAUCAGGGCUGUGGUGACCGGGCUGGUCCACAAGUGGGCGUGGACCAAAGACGACGUGAUCCUCCACGUGCUCCCGCUGCACCACGUCCAUGGUGUGGUCAACGCGCUGCUCUGUCCUCUCUGGGUGGGAGCCACCUGUGUGAUGAUGCCUGAGUUCAGCGCUCAGCAGGUCUGGGAAAAGUUCUUAAGUUCUGAAACGCCGCGGAUCAAUGUCUUUAUGGCAGUGCCUACAAUAUACACCAAGCUGAUGGAGUACUAUGACAGGCAUUUUACCCAGCCACACGCCCGGGAUUUCUUGCGUGCAGUUUGUAAAGAAAAUAUUAGGCUCAUGGUCUCAGGCUCAGCCGCCUUGCCCCUCCCAGUGCUGGAGAAGUGGAAGAGCAUCACGGGCCACACCCUGCUGGAGCGGUAUGGCAUGACCGAGAUCGGCAUGGCUCUGUCCGGGCCCCUGACCGCCGCCGCGCGCCUGCCAGGUUCCGUGGGGACCCCGCUGCCUGGAGUACAGGUGCGCAUUGUCUCAGAAAACCCACAGAAGGAAGGCUGCUCCUACACCGUUCACGCAGAGGGAGACGAGAGGGGGACCAAGGUGACCCCAGGGCUUGAAGAAAAGGAGGGGGAGCUGCUGGUGAGGGGACCCUCCGUGUUUCGAGAAUACUGGAAUAAACCAGAAGAAACUAAAAGUGCAUUCACCCUGGAUGGCUGGUUUAAGACAGGGGACACCGUGGUGUUUAAGGACGGCCAGUUAACCAGAGCCCACUUUCCUCAGGGGACACCGUGGUGUUUAAGGACGGCCAGUACUGGAUCCGAGGCCGGACCUCAGUGGACAUCAUCAAGACCGGAGGCUACAAGGUCAGCGCCCUGGAGGUGGAGUGGCAUCUGCUGGCCCACCCCAGCAUCACAGACGUGGCUGUGAUUGGAGUUCCGGAUAUGACAUGGGGCCAGCGGGUCACUGCUGUGGUGACCCUCCGAGAAGGACACUCACUGUCCCACAGGGAGCUCAAAGAGUGGGCCAGAGAUGUCCUGGCCCCGUACGCAGUGCCCUCGGAGCUGGUGCUGGUGGAGGAGAUUCCGCGGAACCAGAUGGGCAAGCUUGACAAGAAGGCGCUCAUCAGGCACUUCCUCCCCGCGUGACCCAGCAGGCUGGGACCGCGGGUCUGGCGGGGAGCAGCAGACGUCCCCUUCACACUGAGCACCACAGGGCCCCGUCCAAGACCUGGCCUUGAACCUGAACCCCCAAAUCAGGUCACGUAGAAUCAAGAACUGUUUGGGUGAAAUCACCAUGUGAGGUCCCCAGCCUUGGGCCAGUUGUUGCAGGUCAAGGAGACCAUCCCUGGUGUCACCUCUGCCUGGUCACCGCCGACCUCACCUGUGCAGCGCGAUGCAGCCAUGCUCUGGUGUUGCCAGCCCCUGGCCCCACGUGCUCAGGCACCUCCCGCCCCACAGUGCCCUGCAGCUGCCAGGCUCUCCAGGGCAGGUUCCGGAGGUGUCCCCCAAAAAAGAAAAGACUCCACUGAGGAAACGAGCCCCUGUCCCACGCCGUCUGCCCGUGCCUGUGCCUCACCCGGAGCCAGUGUCUCCCAGCCCACAUAGGAGGUCUGGGCGGCCACCCAGGGGGCCCUCCUGGGAGGAGCUGAGGGUUCACAAGCCUGCCAGAACCAGCCCUGUCCCAUAGGUUCCGGGCGUUUCCUGGUGCCACUCUCAGGGGAGAGCAGCUCCCACUGUGGGGACACCUGCCACCCUGCACACUACUGUGUGUCCGUCAGCAUGUGUCACAAAGUGUGUGGACAGACAGCCCUAGAGCUGCUCUGCCAUGACCCUGCCUCACCCCCCAGUGCAGGGACCUUCCAGGUCAUCUCCACACCAGCCCCUCAGCCAGUGAACCCUCCCUCCCAUCACCGUCUCUACCCAGACCCCCACGUACCCCAUGGCCCCUCAUCUCAUGUCUGUGGCUCACCAGCUUUUCCCCAGACGCAGCUCCAGAGCCCGCAGGCGUGGCCGAUGCAGAAACCUUAGGAACGUGUUGUGAAUGUUCGGUGCACCCACGUUGUAUUUACUUAGCGGGGUCAAUUCAGAUGCACAGGGGCCACAUGCGGAAUCCAGAAGUUUCUGGACAAUUUUCAGAAUAGGCUGCCUCCUCCCCACAGCCUCUGGGAAGUAACAGUCAUAGCCCAGCAGUGUCUGGCCUAAACUUAACCAGAACAUUCUGCCCCCUGAAUGCACGUCUGAAAGAGUGGCCAGAAACGAGUGUGCUGGGCAGGAGACCAGCCCCAUCUGAGGCUCACGUGCCUCAUGGACAGUUGAACGUGGCCUGGGGCCCUGCUCACUUAAGCAUGUCGCCCACCAAGCUUGUCUGAGGCCACAGAGCAGCGUCCCAGCCAUUUUCCAGGAUGGGUGGGUGCCCCAGUCCACGGCCCUGCCCCACCCGAACUCCUGCCUCACGGUGUGGCCUUGUGCAUCCCCAUGGCCUGACCCCAGGAACAGUCAGAGGAAGGGGCCCCGCCGUCCCGCCGGAGGCCUGGACCCAAGGGAAUGGCACUCAGAGACUACAGUCCAGACGUUUGUGUGUGGGCCUUGCUAGCAGCUAAGGAAAUGCGUUCUGCUGGGAAAAGAUCAAAUUUAACAUAGAAAGAUUUUUACUU